rnacentral:rRNA from 1 species
UACAGGGGUGGCAAGCGUUGUCCGGAAUUACUGGGUGUAAAGGGUGCGUAGGCGGAUCGAUAAGUCCGUGGUUAAAUCCUGCAGCUUAACUGUAGACUCACCAUGGAUACUGUCAAUCUUGAGUGCGAGAGAGAUGAAUGGAAUACCAAGUGUAGCGGUGAAAUGCGUAGAGAUUUGGUAGAACACCAGUAGCGAAGGCGGUUCAUUAGCUCGUAACUGACGCUGAGGCACGAAAGCAUGGGUAGCAAACAGG